rnacentral:rRNA from 1 species
UGGGGAAUAUUGCACAAUGGGCGCAAGCCUGAUGCAGCCAUGCCGCGUGUAUGAAGAAGGCCUUCGGGUUGUAAAGUACUUUCAGCGAGGAGGAAGGCGUUGUGGUUAAUAACCACAACGAUUGACGUUACUCGCAGAAGAAGCACCGGCUAACUCCGUGCCAGCAGCCGCGGUAAUACGGAGGGUGCAAGCGUUAAUCGGAAUUACUGGGCGUAAAGCGCACGCAGGCGGUCUGUCAAGUCGGAUGAGAAAUCCCCGGGCUCAACCUGGGAACUGCAUCCGAAACUGGCAGGCUAGAGUCUUGUAGAGGGGGGUAGAAUUCCAGGUGUAGCGGUGAAAUGCGUAGAGAUCUGGAGGAAUACCGGUGGCGAAGGCGGCCCCCUGGACAAAGACUGACGCUCAGGUGCGAAAGCGUGGGGAGCAAACA